rnacentral:rRNA from 1 species
UACGGAGGAUCCAAGCGUUAUCCGGAUUCAUUGGGUUUAAAGGGUGCGUAGGCGGAAUUGUAAGUCAGUGGUGAAAGCCUGCAGCUUAACUGCAGAAUUGCCAUUGAUACUGCAAAUCUUGAGUACAUUUGAUGUGGGCGGAAUGUGUCAUGUAGCGGUGAAAUGCUUAGAUAUGACACAGAACACCGAUUGCGAAAGGCAG